GCCUGGGUGGCUCAGUCGGUUGAGCGUCCGACUUCAGCUCAGGUCAGAAUCUCGCAGUUCAUGAGUUCGAGCCCCAUGUCGGGCU
rnacentral:tRNA from 1 species